UCGGGAAUUUUGGGCAAUGGGCGAAAGCCUGACCCAGCAACGCCGCGUGAGGGAUGAAGUAUUUCGGUAUGUAAACCUCGAAAGAAUGGGAAGAAUAAAUGACGGUACCAUUUAUAAGCUCCGGCUAACUACGUGCCAGCAGCCGCGGUAAUACGUAGGGAGCAAGCGUUGCUCGGAUUUACUGGGCGUAAAGGGCGCGUAGGCGGCGCGGUAAGUCACUUGUGAAAUCUCUGAGCUUAACUCAGAACGGCCAAGUGAUACUGCUGUGCUAGAGUGCGGAAGAGGCAACCGGAAUUCUUGGUGUAGCGGUGAAAUGCAUAGAUAUCAAGAGGAACACCUGAGGCGAAGGCGGGUUGCUGGGCCGACACUGACGCUGAUGCGCGAAAGCCAGGGGAGCAAACG
rnacentral:rRNA from 1 species